rnacentral:rRNA from 1 species
GACGAACGCUGGCGGCAUGCCUAACACAUGCAAGUCGAGCGAGUUGAUUCUUUCGGGAUGAAGCUAGCGGCGGACGGGUGAGUAACACGUGGGCAACCUGCCUCAUAGAGGGGAAUAGCCUUCCGGAAGGAAGAUUAAUACCGCAUAAGAUUGCAUCUUCGCAUGAAGAAGCAAUUAAAGGAGCAAUCCGCUAUGAGAUGGGCCCGCGGCGCAUUAGCUAGUUGGUGAGGUAACGGCUCACCAAGGCGACGAUGCGUAGCCGACCUGAGAGGGUGAUCGGCCACAUUGGGACUGAGACACGGCCCAGACUCCUACGGGAGGCAGCAGUGGGGAAUAUUGCACAAUGGGGGAAACCCUGAUGCAGCAAUGCCGCGUGAGUGAUGACGGCCUUCGGGUUGUAAAGCUCUGUCUUCGGGGACGAUAAUGACGGUACCCGAGGAGGAAGCCACGGCUAACUACGUGCCAGCAGCCGCCGUAA